AUUUGUAAAGCACUUUUUUCACGAAGAGGAAAGUUCGAAGGACAUCUGCUUUACAUCGCCAUUCGCCAUCCGAAGUCCUUCAACUGCACUGACCUGCAUCUGCAUCUGUACCUACACGGUGUGUGCCACUGCAGCUGACGUUGAGACAACCCUGACUGUACCCGCAAGUCCUCGCCUGAUUCUACUUGGUGGAACUGGGCAAGUCACUUUUGGGUGUUGGAUGAUCACGCUUGAGGGUCGUGUCAUAUCUGAAGGCAUCACAUCAACCUUUUUGACGGGACUUGCUGCUGUAUUUGCAAUAUACUAUAUGCUUAACCUCCA